AUAAUUAUAUUAUCCCAUAAUAUAAUUAUUCUUAUUCCUCUAUAACUUUGCUUAUACUGAUAAACAAUAAUUACUCAUAAUACUUCAAACUUUACAAAUUUAAUUUACCAACCAAUCAAUCCAAAAAUCACCACUUUAACAAUAGGAUUUCAAAUUUCAGAAUUAACCACAUAUCACUCCAACGUACUUAACUUCCACAAAUCAAAUAAUUUCACACAUAACACCUAAAAAAUUUCAAUAUAACACACAUUAAAGUUAACUUACUAGUUUUGGGGUGUUAUAUUGAAAUCAAUCAUUUCCUUCAUCCACCUUCAUCUACGUUUGUGCCCAGCUCUCACGACCACCAUCAAAAUAUUUUUCUCUCCAGUGAAUCGUGUUUGUGAGAUAGCCAGAUUCAGCAUUCACCACCCACAAAUCUCCAACUCUGAACCCAUUCGGUUAGAUACCCACCUAAAAUCGGACUGAUUCUGAUUCAGCAGUCACAACCCACACGUUUCAGCAGUCACCGGUGAACCUAUUUGAUGAGAUAUCUGGUGAACCCAUUAGUUUGUAGCUUUAAAAAAGAUAAACUCUUAUACUUUUGUGUACGUUACUCUGAACGCUUUUGUUUACUGUGAUGUUCUAUGCUAAUUUGUAUUGUUUUCUAACAUAUCUUCCAAUUGCUAGGAAGAAGUUGCUUAAGUGAUUCUUAAAGAAGGGUAAGGAGAGGAUGAAAUCUAUUAUCAUUAAUCCUUCUAGGAAAGAGUAUGGUUUGAUGGUGAAUUACUACACAAGGAGAGGUGAUAUGAACGGUGCACGUGAAAUCUUUGAAAAUAUGCGAGCUAGGGAAAUAGAACCAUGGUCUCAUGUCUACACAAAGUAAUAACUACUCCUAUUUUCUCCCUUUCUUUCGUCAUAUGUUAAUUUGAUCUCAACGUUAGCUUAAUAUUUUUGCUUCAUUUAUUGACAUAAAGGUCACCAUUCUAGUUUUGAAUAUGGUUAAAGUUUGAUUGAUUUGUAUAGAAGGCCAAUUAAGUAUUUUAUGCUUGAAAUAUAUAUUUUGAUGGUAGAUAUGUCGUUGCAAAAGUAUAUUUACUAUAUUAAUUCAAUCUAAAUAUUUUUCAA